rnacentral:rRNA from 1 species
AUCUAUGGCCAUGCCACCCUGAACACGACCAAUCUCGUCAGAUCUCGGAAGCUAAGCAGAGUCGGGCCUGGUUAGUACUUGGAUGGGAGACCACCUAGGAAUACCAGGUGCUGUAGGUG